rnacentral:rRNA from 1 species
GAUGAACGCUGGCGGCGUGCCUAAUACAUGCAAGUCGAGCGAACAGACGAGGAGCUUGCUCCUCUGACGUUAGCGGCGGACGGGUGAGUAACACGUGGAUAACCUACCUAUAAGACUGGGAUAACUUCGGGAAACCGGGGCUAAUACCGGAUAAUAUAUUGAACCGCAUGGUUCAAUAGUGAAAGACGGUUUUGCUGUCACUUAUAGAUGGAUCCGCGCCGCAUUAGCUAGUUGGUAAGGUAACGGCUUACCAAGGCAACGAUGCGUAGCCGACCUGAGAGGGUGGUCGGCCACACUGGAACUGAGACACGGUCCAGACUCCUACGGGAGGCAGCAGUAGGGAAUCUUCCGCAAAGGGCGAAAGCCUGACGGAGCAACGCCGCGUGAGUGAUGAAGGUCUUCGGAUCGUAAAACUCUGUUAUUAGGGAAGAACAAAUGUGUAAGUAACUAUGCACGUCGUGACGGUACCUAAUCAGAAAGCCACGGCUAACUACGUG